UACGUAGGGGGCGAGCGUUUGUCCGGAUUUAUUGGGCGUAAAGAGCUCGUAGGCGGCUUGGCAAGUCGGGUGUGAAACCUCCAGCUCAACCUGGAGACGCCACUCGAUACUGCCAUGGCUAGAGUCCGGUAGGGGACCACGGAAUUCCUGGUGUAGCGGUGAAAUGCGCAGAUAUCAGGAGGAACACCGGUGGCGAAGGCGGUGGUCUGGGCCGGCACUGACGCUGAGGAGCGAAAGCGUGGGUAGCAACAGG
rnacentral:rRNA from 1 species